ensembl:lncRNA
UAGGCAGCACGUGAACAGUCAGUUCUUGAAGCUGAUGUGUUGGAAGCAGGAAAAAUGGGCAAGCGUUAGGAUCUGAACUUUAACAAGGGCAAUAUCGUGAUGGCUAGACGACCGGGUCGGAGCGUCUCCAGAACGGCAGGUCUUGUGGGGUGUUCCCGGUAUGCAGCGGAUAGUACCUUACAAAAGUGGUCCAAGGAAGGACUACUGGUGAAUGUGCAACAGGGUCAUGGGCACCCAAGGCUUAUUGACGUGUGUGGGGAGGAUAGCGAAGGCUAGACCAUCUGCUCCAAUGCCACAGAAGAUCUACUGUCGCACAAAUUGCUGAAUGGAGCAAUGGAAGAAGGUGGCCUAGUCUUAUGAAUCACGUUGUCUUUUACAUCAUGUGGAUGGCCACGUGUGUGUGUGUGUGUGUGUGUGUGUGCAUGCGCGUCACUUAUCUGGGUUAGAGAUGGCACCAGGAUGCACUAUGUGAAGAAGGCAAGCCGGUGGAGGCAGCGUGAAGCUCUGGGUGAUGUUCUGCUGGGAAACCUUGGUUCCUGGCAUUCAUGAUAAUGCGCCCUGAGACACUGCAAAAAUUCAUCAGGAACGGUUUGAGGAACAUGACAAGGAGUUCAAGGUGUUGACCCGAUCCAAUCGAUCUGUUGGAUGUGCUGUACAAACAGGUCCGAUCCACUAAGGCCCGAUCUCACAACUCACAGGACUUAAAGGAUCUGCUGCUAACGUCUUGGUUCCGGAUACCACAGCGCACCUUCAGAGGUCUUGUGGAGUCCGUGCCUCGACGGGGCCGAGCUGUUUUGAUGGCACAAGUGCGACCUACACGAUAUUAGGGAAUGAGAGGUGCUGAAGCAAACCAAAUAACACCUUUUGUCCAUCCAUCCAUCCAUCUUCUACACCACUUAUCCUUCCUUCAGGGUCAUGGGGAACUUGGAGCCUAU